rnacentral:lncRNA from 1 species
ACUGAGACGGCCAUGGUAUAUGGUUUACAUCGUUGUCAUGCUCAUCAAAACCAUUCAGUGACCACUCGUGCACUGUGAAUGGGGCAUUGUCAUCCUGGAAGAGAACACUCCCAUCUGGAUAGAAAUGAUUCACCAUAGAUUAAAGGCGAUCACUCAGACUGACUGUGUAUUUAUUGGCAUUUACCUUGCCUUCUAAGGGGUUGAAUGGACCUAAACCAUACCAGGAAAACACACCCCACACUAUAACAGCCGUCAGAACACUAACUCAUCAUUUCCAUAGCCACCUGUGAUAAGGGCCUCUGUGGAACUCCCCUCAGGGUCUCUGCUUCAGACUGAGUAUGACUUCUAAAUGGCCCCCUAUUCCCUAUAUAGUGCACUUCUUUUGACCAGAGUCUUCAUGUGCUAGAAGGCUCCAACAUCAGGUCAGUUAAGGCAUAACAGAGAGAGAGUCCAAAAUAAACACGACCUGUUUUUUUAAGUUAUGUUUAAAGGGAGAGUGGUAUAGUGAGAUUGCUAAAAGGAUGUAGGGCAGUGUGUUGCGUUCACAGCCAAGAAUGUGCUUUUGUUUGUAAGAGAGCCGGCCUCUGUUGACUUUCGCUCCCCUCAUUUGUUUUGCCUGUAAUUUUACUAAACCAUAAAUCUCCCAUGAAGAGUCGGUGUGUAUUUGAAUAGAACAGAUAAGUUCCUAUACUGCACAGUCAGUGAGUUGCUAGUCUCUUGUUAUAGACUGUUAAUAUUAUCGAGUAGCUGGGACAGCGGCAUGGGAAAUGUGGUUAUGUUAGGUUAGGUUGUUGUGGAAAAGGAUAACACAAAAGGUCAUUUUGGGAGAAGGUCAUUUCUGCAACAUUAUUUUCCAGGUGUGUAUUACCGAUACCCAGACGGUCUGAUCGACCGGUGAAGAGAGAGAAUUGGAAAAGCAGUCGUGGUUAUUUUCAUACUAGCGUGUCAUUACAUAAUGUACAGUACCGUACGUGGUCAUAGCAAUGUGUCAGUUAAACUGACUGGUAUUAGAUGGAUGGAACGAUACCAGUCAUCAAAGGGGAUGGAAAUAAUUCAUCUAGGUUUAACACCAGUGCCGAGGUCCCCUCAGCAAGCAAACUGAGAAACACCCGCAGCCAGGACAAACUCCAGCCAUUGAUGAGUGUGGUCACAUCAGGAGCUAGCUGCCUAACACAUUUCUGGAGCUUUUUGGAAGGACAGACAGUCCUACCCUGCAACUUUAAACAUGGGCAUAAUGGACUGAAUACAUGGGCAUAAUGGACUACAAACAUGGGCAUAAUGGACUACAAACAUGGGCAUAAUGGAUUACAAAGAUGGCCAUAAUGAACUACAAAGACGGCCAUAAUGAACUACAAAGACGGCCAUAAUGGACUACAAACAUGGACAUAAUGGAUUACAAAGAUGGCCAUAAUGAACUACAAAGACGGCCAUAAUGAACUACAAACCUGGGCAUAAUGGACUACAAACAUGGACAUAAUGGAUCUAUCAAAUAAAGCCAGGCAAUAAACUAAAUGGCACAAUCUGGACAUAUAAAUCACUGAUUACGAGAAA